rnacentral:lncRNA from 1 species
GUUCCACGUCCCCUCUCCAGCCGCCCCCCAGGCCUCCAUUUGUUCUACCUCUGCCCCGCUCUUGAAUUAACUCAGCCUCAUGGGGUGCUGGUGACUGAUUAUGGCUCCCUUUCCCCGUAGCUCAGCAGAGUCCCUGUCUUCCUCCCAAGGCGGUGGUCGAAUCUGAGUAUCACCAAUUCUCUCUGUGGGCCUCGGUUUCCUCAUCUGUGAAAUGCGGGUCUCUGUAUGGCCGAAGUUGCACCUGAGCUCAGCUGUGAUACCAAUUGAAAUCUACCUUGUGUGCAUUCAGUGCUUUAAAUGAGGAC